rnacentral:lncRNA from 1 species
UAAAAACUUAAACGAACAAAUAAUCCAAUAAUAUUUUUUUUAAAAACAUUAAAAACCAUCCCAAUAACAAUACACCAAUAACAUUUUUACUGAUUUGGUUUAUUGAUCGGUUCAACUUUCGCACACCCAUAUUUGUGGGUAGUGAUCCUUGCCGUGACAUAAGGAACUUUCUCAUGAAACUCUGGGAACCACUGAUAUGCUGAACAAAUGAAGUGAAUAUGUGACAAAGAGACCUCAGAAGGAAUCCCCUCAAUGGGUUAGGUGUCCUUUCCCCCUCUUGAAGGAGCCUUAAAGUCAUCAAGGGUCUUGAACUCUGCUGGCACUAUGUGUUCCAAGGAGGAUCUGAAGGGGAACCCUCCCCCUUAUGGGUCAUUAGACAAAUCAUCCGAAUUUGCGAAAAGAAGAUGUGAACUUGAAGAGUGAGACAUGAUCGCAAUAUAAGAGGACAUAUGUCGUGGCCAAGAAUAUCUUGAGGAUAUUUUCUUUUUAAAAGUAAGGUUAUUAGAAGGCGAAAGCAGCAAUAAGGGGAAGGUAUUAGCGAAAAUGUUUGAUAUAUAAAGGAACUUUGGAGAUUGAUGAAUCAUUACACCGAUAUGAGGAACCAGUGCAACUCUUGAGGAGAAGCACCACCAUUUUUUCAACAAAUACGUGUCCAAAAGUGGACAUGAUUUGAAAGGCGGUGACGUUACAUACUAAGGCGAUAUGACCCUUUUGGAGAAGGGGAACUCAAUGGGAAAUGAGUGUAAAAGAUGUUUUGGGAAUUAAUUCCACCUUCUGUCGGACCAAGUAUAUGGGACAACGAGACAAAAGACUUGACUAGACAAAGUGGCAACUUAGGUGAGAAGUAAUUGUUGUCCUGUCUAGAAUCAAAGUAAUUGUUGUCUUGACUAGAAUCAAACACAAAAUGGCUCAAUAAAGUAAUUGUUAUCCUGUCUCUCAGUCGUAAUAAAGUAUAUGUCCCCACAAGAUGGAGGGGCUAUUUGUAUGGGGAAAAAGGUAGUUUAUUAAAAAUGGGGCCUAUUGGGCCACCUUAGUCUGGGUGUGAGUGAAGUUUGUCAGCAUCAUCUCAAGAAUAGCUUUGGUACACACUUGAAAUAAAAAAAGAGGUGACCGAAACCAAUGGGGAUAUAUACUGACCAUAUGCUAACAGACAAAUAAAA